rnacentral:snoRNA from 1 species
AAAAAAGCAGGGAUCUGUUACCAUUUGUGAACUGGUCUCUCGUAAACUUCAGGGAUAGAAAACCGCAAUGUUAUUGGGUGAACCUCAUGAGUACUGAUGAUUGAUGGUUCAGUAAACAAUGCUACAUUA